UUCGGUUCCGGAGAGGGAGCCUGAGAAACGGCUACCACAUCUAAGGAAGGCAGCAGGCGCGUAAAUUACCCAAUCCUGAUUCAGGGAGGUAGUGACAAGAAAUAACAACCUGGGGGACCUAGUCCUUACGGGAUUGCAAUGAUAACAAUUUAAACGACUUAUCAAGGAACAAUUGGAGGGCAAGUCUGGUGCCAGCACCCGCGGUAAUUCCAGCUCCAAUAGCGUAUAUUAAAGUUGUUGCAGUUAAAAAGCUCGUAUUUGAACUUCUGUGUAUGAGCAGUUCUGGCUUCGGUCAAGCUGUCUUGUGCACAUCCGCUUGCAAACUUAUACCGGUCUUCACUGAUCGACUAAGGGAGUAGGCCCUUUACCUUGAAAAAAUUAGAGUGUUUCAGGCAGGCAAUUGCUCGAAUACAUUAGCAUGGAAUAAUGGAAUAGGACUUUUGUCCAUUUGGUUGGUUAUUGGACAUGAGUAAUGAUUAAAAGGGACAGUUGGGGGCAUUAAUAUUUAAUUGUCAGAGGUGAAAUUCUUGGAUUUAUUAAAGACUAACUUAUGCGAAAGCAUUUGCCAAGGAUGUUUUCAUUAAUCAAGAACGAAAGUUAGGGGAUCAAAGACGAUCAAA
rnacentral:rRNA from 1 species